rnacentral:rRNA from 1 species
UUCCUACGGGAGGCAGCAGCCGCGGUAAUACGUAGGUGGCGAGCGUUAUCCGGAAUGAUUGGGCGUAAAGGGUGCGUAGGCGGCCUGCUAAGUCUGGAGUGAAAGGUACCGGCUCAACCGGUACAGGCUCUGGAAACUGGCGGGCUAGAGAGCAGGAGAGGGCGGUGGAACUCCAUGUGUAGCGGUAAAAUGCGUAGAUAUAUGGAAGAACACCAGUGGCGAAGGCGGCCGCCUGGCCUGUUACUGACGCUGAGGCACGACAGCGUGGGGAGCAAAUAGGAUUAGAAACCCUGGUAGUCC